AAGACUAUAGACCUGCGGAGUACCUGCGGAGGGAUCAUUACAGAGUUGCAAAACUCCCAAACCAUUGUGAACGUUACCUUCUCGUUGCUUCGGCGGGCGGCCCGGGUCCUUCCCGGCGCCCCCCGGCCCCUCGCGGGCGCCCGCCGGAGGUAAACCAAACUCUUGAAUUGUAUGGCCUCUCUGAGUCUUCUGUACUGAAUAAGUCAAAACUUUCAACAACGGAUCUCUAGAUCGGAAGAG
rnacentral:misc_RNA from 1 species